AACAGGCUGAGUGCUUCUGACAGGGCACACCACAUAAAAGUCUUAUAGUUUUUUCCCUCCUUAUGGUCCUGAAAUAUAUUUAUAUUUUACAUCUCAUCUGUUGCAUUUUAGUGUCUGCUACAAAAGCCACCUACUGGACGUGUGGAGCAUGAACUUUCCUUCUGGAAUCAACCAAUGGGACCAGAAUCCCAAUGACUAUCUCCCAGUUUGGGCAGUUCUAUCUUCUCCCACUACUACUGAGUUUCAGCUGGAUAUAAUCUGAUUCCUACCAUAAGAGAUGAUGAAAGUGUUACUCUGUACUGUUAAAUAAUUGUCAUGUGCAUUGACUGCAUUUCAACAAUGGGAUAAGUAACUUUUGUGUUUUAUCUGUAAACACUUGGCAUAUUUCAAAUUUAAAUGCUUACUUAAAGAGUUAAUUUCAAA